rnacentral:misc_RNA from 1 species
AUUCAAGGUGUCCCGUCCCGUGUGUUAAUAAAAAGUCAGAUCGACGGCAUUUUGGUUAGAUUGACGCGUUGACGUGUGAGUGGCUAAUUUAAUGUUUGUGUUGGUUGGCUCCCUGCUUGUGCAUCGAACUGUCAGCGCAUACAUAUUUCAGUUUGGGCGGAAUUAUGGUUGUCGGAUUUUUGUGUUGCCUACCAAGUUGAUGGAAUUAUAAUGUCGGCUAAUGUCUAAAUUCGGCUAACACCCAUUGUGGUGUUAGGCGGACGUUGAAGCGACCCCUUUUUUCGACAUGCUCUUUCCUUUUCGAGAACCAUGGAAAAUUGGUGGUGUUGCUUGUUGCCUCGGAUGCGGAGCGUGAAGCGAGUAGUUUGCCUGUCCCCCCCCCCUCAUUGCUCAUUCAGAGCUCUCGAUUGCUCGGAAAGAAAGACCGUCGCGCUUGUUUUUGGUUGUCGAAUUGUGAUCCUAGCUCUUAACUUUGCCGACGUCUUCGAUGAUGCUACCUGGUGAUCCGCCAGAGUCAUAUG